UUUGUCUGAAAUAAAAAGCUUUUGUAACAUUAUACACUACACCAUUCAAAAGCUUGGAGUCAGUAUAAUUUAUAGAGCGAGAAAGAGAGAGAGAGAAAGAAAUGAAUACUUUUAUUUAACAAGGAUGCUCUGCCUUGUUUUUUCGGGGUGUUGAUCGGCUAAAAAUUAUUCGUCCAGUCAUUUUAAAUCUGUAGGCUAGUUUAAAUUAAUCCGAACUGAAUGAAUCUAAAUGAGUCUUUUGAACAGAAUCGCAAAAAUUUGAGUGAGAUUAAUAAAAUAAAUCCACACUAUUCGCGGUAGUGCUGUAUCUCAGAGUUUGUUGUAGUUUCAUAAUAGAGGUAAUGAACAGUAUAUCACGCACUGACAUUCCAGGCCUCGCAUUUAGAGCUGAUUCACAUGAGACUUGCAAUUCUUGACGCCCUUGAAUCGAAUCGAAGUGGGCGCGCUGACAGGACUCAGGAGAGCUUGUGUUCUGCAGUGACAGGCUACUGGCUGACAGCGUUCGGUGAUUUCUGAGAGAUUUACCUCAGACGAAGGUAAGUGUGAAUACAUAAAAACAUUUUGAAAAACAUGCUUACAAAAACAUAACAUUAAACGUUGUUUGAUGUAAUUUUUUUUUUUUUUUAUCUGUAUUUCUAGCAUGAAGUUGUUUUGAGCCGUUUAUUCCCGCUUCAGGUGCUUCGCUGUUGCGUGCGGUGAUUUUUUGAGAGAUUUACUUCAGAUGAAGGUUAGGAUAAAUACAUAAAACAUUGGUUCAAUGUUGUAUUAUUUCUCUCGAACUGUAUUUAUAGCCCGGUGUUGUUUCGAGCCGUUUGUUCCCACUUCAGCAGCCUUCAGUCAGCGCGUGGUCACAGCGUCCAAAGAGAUUUAAAUCAUAUGAAAACACAUUCUGCUCAUCUGAUUCACCGGAGACAGCUUUGGAGGAGAAAUGGUCAGAAAGCAAAUGUUGCCAUUCUUCUGGAAAACUGCUGGUCUUUAAAUAACAGUCAUCAAUCAGGAUCCUCUGUUCCCAGACCCAACCAUUCAACUGAAGGACUGUGAAAAUAUGAACCCUUCGAACCACCGGCAAUGAAUGUAUGAUUUCAGAUCUAUUUUUUUUUACACUGAGGACAAUUGAGGGACACAACUAUUUCAAAAGUUAAACGCAUUUAUUGAUUUUCAAGAAAGCCACACAAUUUAAGAGAGACGGGGUGUGAACCAAUUGAAUUGGAUGAUCAGGGAAAACUAAAAUGUUUUUCUGAAAAUCAGUAUUAAAAAAGUAUGUAGCUUCUGAAGGGCAGUACUAAAUGAACAGAUAUGAUCUUUAAACAAAACAAGAAAAAUAGACU